rnacentral:rRNA from 1 species
GACGAACGCUGGCGGCGUGCUUAACACAUGCAAGUCGAACGGAAAGGCCUUUUCGGAGGUACUCGAGUGGCGAACGGGUGAGUAACACGUGGGUGAUCUGCCCUGCACUCUGGGAUAAGCCUGGGAAACUGGGUCUAAUACCGGAUAGGACCGCACUUUAGUGUGUGUGGUGGAAAGUUGUUUCGGUGUAGGAUGAGCCCGCGGCCUAUCAGCUUGUUGGUGGGGUAAUGGCCUACCAAGGCGGCGACGGGUAGCCGGACUGAGAGGUUGGUCGGCCACAUUGGGACUGAGAUACGGCCCGGACUCCGACGGGGGGAGGGAGUGGGGAAGAUGGCACAAGGGGCGCAAGCCUGAUGCAGCGACGCCGCGGGGGGGAUGACGGCCUUCGGGUUGUAAACGCCUUUCGCCAGGGACGAAGCGUUUUGUGACGGUACCUGGAGAAGAAGCACCGGCUAACUACGUG